UAUAGCACAGGGAACUAUAUCCAGUCUCUUGAAAUACACCAUGAUAGGAGAUAACAUAAGAAAAGGGUGUGUGUGUGUGUGUAUACACAUAUAUGACUAGGUCACUUUGCUGUACAGCAGAAAUUGGCACAACACUGUAAAUCAACUAUACUUUAAUAAAAGUAAAUUUAAAAAACUAACUAAGUAAAUUAGCCAUCAAGCCAUGAAAACACAUGGAGAAAACUUAUAUGCAUAUUAUGAGUGAAAAGCCUCCAUACUGUAUGAUCGGCCAUAUGGCAUUCUGGAAAAGGCAAAACUAUGGAGACAGUAAAAGAUCUGAGGUUGCCAGUGGAUGAGAGGGUAAGGAAGGAUGAUAAGCAGAGCAUAGAGGGCUGUGAAUCUACCCUGCAAGGUAUGAGAAUGGUGGGUACAAACGUCAAGAUGCAUUUGUCCAGACCCAUAGAAUGUACAACAAAAAAUGAACACUAAGAUGAACUACAGAAUUUGUGUGAGAAUGAUGUGUCAAAGUAGAUUUAUCAAUUGUAACAAAUGUACCCCUCUGAUAGGAACGUUGAUAAUGGAGAGGCCUGUGUGAAGGGGGGCAGGGAAUACAUGGGAACUCUCUGGACCACCCACUCAAUUUCGCUGUAAACUUAAAAGUGCUCUAAAAAUAAAGCUCAUUAAAAUAAUUUCUCCCUUUCUACCAAUAAAAAAGUUUCUUUUCUAAAUAUAAAAUAAUAUGUAAGCAGAGUAAAAUCCUAACAAUAUAAGAAAUUUCAAAAAAUAAAAUAAUGAAAGUCUUCAAUAAUUUUUAUACACACUACAAAAACCUAAUCUCAUUUACGUGAUUUAAUUCUUAUUACUGAACUUUUUCAUAUUCUGUUUUUGCAGUCUCCCUGUAUAAAACAUAAAAACCCAAUCAUACCAAAAUUCCCUUUGGACGGGGGCCCAGAUUUGCUAUUGCCAGGCCCACUUCACACUCAUAAACAGAGAAGCUUUUCUGUAUACUCCAAGAAGAAUGUCUUUCAGAAAAGUCUCUGCAUAUUCCUUUAGUAACUCUAGAAGAGACUGCUGAUUUUUCUCCAAUGUAUCUUUUACCUCCUUAUUCCUCACUAACAGAAUCCUAGGAUACAGGACUGCCAGAAUAAAGGCUAUAUUUCCCAACCUCCUUGUGGUUGAAUUUGGCUAUUUGACUAAGUUUUGACCAAGGGGAGAUAAGAGGAUGUGUAAUCUUCAACUACUGAAAUGUGUUCAUAGACAUAAGGUCUUGUUCUCUCUUUUUCUUUUCUCCCUGCUGUGCUGGACUGUUGAGAGACUACAGCAAAUGGCAUUGACUUGACGAUGGUCAAACAACUCAAUAAAGACAUGAUGCUUGAGAGUUACCUGAGCAUUAUGGUUGAAUAAGACCUCCUUCACUUGCACCCCUACUCAACAACAACAGCUUGGCAUCCAUCCAUGGACAAAAGUGCUUUUGUGGGAGAAUUGGAAGACAGCACCAUAUAUAGAGGGAUCCAGGUGUCUUCCCACUCGAGCUUUGGGUAAUAGGUAUACAGACCUCCAUUCUGGCUGUGGACCCUGCAGUGACCCUGCAACCUGCUCCCAUUCCACUUGGCUGUGGUCUGGAGGCUUCCAGCAAAUGCUAUCUUAGAAGUUCACCUAGAUGAAAAUGCCUUUGUGAGAAUGCAGAUUUCCAGUGAAGAACUUCCAGCACAUAACUGGAGCAAAAAAUAUACGAUCCUGGACUUAUUGUAUAGCACAGAGAGUUCUACUCAAUGUUCUGUAAUAAGCUUAUAGGAAAAAAAGAAUGGACAUAAGUAUGUGUAUAACUGAUUCACUUUGUUCUACACCUGAAACUAAUACAAUAUCAUAAAUCAACUAUACUACAAUAAAAUUAUUUUUUUAAAAAAUAUACAAGCAUAGAUGCAUUGAAGAUGGGCAGAAGAACAAUUUAAUUUUACUUACACACCCCUCCUGCAAGGCAGCACAGCUCAGGGCUGAGAGAAAUCUUCUUGGCCCAUGAUUUCCCCCAUGAGGGAAAGUGAGACUAUAAAUGAGUGCCCAAUUUUUCAGCUGUGCAGGAUGCUGCCAAAGAGGUUCAUUUCUUUCACAACUUACCUGGAGUACUGAAUAGGGAGCUUCAUGACUGAAGGGUGGGGAUGGGGAGAAGCUCAGGCAGGGAGAGGAGUAUAGAGAAUCCCCUAAAGCAUUUCAAGGAUGCAGAUCCUACUAACUACAUCUCCAUCAAGAAGCCUGCCCAUGAGCCACUGAGAUGUCAAAGCCUUGGCUUUUCCUAAUCACCAUUGGGUUAGAGCAGUUAGUUCACCAAGAACUAAAACUAACAAACCCAGAUCAAGGCUUUGAAAAUCAAAUACAUGUAUUAAAUAGGUUGUUGUUGGUUUUUUUUCCCUGAGGUAUGAUGUCCAGAUUUGACUGUUACUCAAGAAGAAUCAAGUUCAUGUGAAUCAAGGUAAGACCAAAUAGAAAACUGUAUUAGUAUUCCGGGUUAAAAUAUUAAAAUACCCAUCACAAAAGUUUCACAAAGGAUAAUACAAUUGGAGUAAAACACAUAUUCCCAUGAGUUUUAUAAAGGAUAUUCUGUCUAUUUUCAGCUUGAAACAUUGUGCCAGUUGUUAAACUCUUAAAAACCAGAGAAAUUACAUUUCACUUUUGUAGGUCCCAUGGCAGGGUUUUGAAAAUCAACAACAAUCCAUUGUAUUAUGAGUUGGUGGGAGCCUAUAUUACAAACUGGUAAUUGAGUAAUUUUUGUAAGUCGGCCAAAAACUGUGAAAAUUGAUUUCUUCUCAACCCAAAGAUACAGUUGCUCCAAUCAUCUAGAUGCUUUCCACUGACCUUCUGAGAUGAAACGUUCUUAAAUAUAACCCUGAAAAGAACUGAUGGCACACCUGUUAAUUUUUGUUAUGUAAUUAACUUCCCACCAAAUUUGGUAGCUUAAAAUCAUCAUUUGUUUUACAUCAUAAUUCCAUGUGUCAUUAAUUUAGACUGGGCUCAUUUGGAGAGCUCUUUUGGUGGUCUUAGCAGCUCUCAAGCAACUGAGGUCAGUGAUGGGUCAGCAGACGUUAGAGAGGUUAGGGAUGUUGCUCAGCGGAGACAAACAGCUGCUCCUUGAAUCGCUGACCAUCCAGGAGGCAAACCUGGGCUUUCCCACGUGAAAUCUCAGGAUGCUAAAAAGAAGUGAAACAGCACAUAUGCCCCAGUGCACCAUAACUUUUUAAGUCUCUAGCUGUGUCUCAUUUGCUACAUCCCAUUGACAAACCAAGUCACAGGACCAAAUACAGAUUCAAGAAUGGAGAGAUAAAUCUCAACUACUAAGAAAAGCAGUUGAAAAAUUGUGCCACUAUAUCUUUGUUUUCUUGGGAGGUUGUCUACAACGUAGAAAGUAGAAUUUCCUAUGAUGGCGCAGCAGAAAUGAAUCCGACUAGGAACCAUGAGGUUGGGGGUUUGACCCCUGGCCUCGCUUAGUGGGUUAAGGAUCCAGCGUUGCCGUGAGCUGUGGUGUAGGUUGUAGAUGCUGCUCGGAUCCCGUGUUGCUGUGGCUGUGGCGUAGGCUGGCAGAUACACCUCUGAUUAGACCCCGAGCCUGGGAACCUCCAUCUGCCGCGGGUGCGGCCCUAAAAAGACAAAA
rnacentral:lncRNA from 1 species